rnacentral:rRNA from 1 species
AUUGAACGCUGGCGGCAGGCCUAACACAUGCAAGUCGAGCGGCAGCGGGAAAGUAGCUUGCUACUUUUGCCGGCGAGCGGCGGACGGGUGAGUAAUGCCUGGGGAUCUGCCCAGUCGAGGGGGAUAACUACUGGAAACGGUAGCUAAUACCGCAUACGCCCUACGGGGGAAAGCAGGGGACCUUCGGGCCUUGCGCGAUUGGAUGAACCCGGGUGGGAUUAGCUAGGUGGUGAGGUAAUGGCGCACCAAGGCGACGAUCCCUAGCUGGUCUGAGAGGAUGCUCAGCCACACUGGAACUGAGACACGGUCCAGACUCCUACGGGAGGCAGCAGUGGGGAAUAUUGCACAAUGGGGGAAACCCUGAUGCAGCCAUGCCGCGUGUGUGAAGAAGGCCUUCGGGUUGUAAAGCACUUUCAGCGAGGAGGAAAGGUUGGUAGCUAAUAACUGCCAGCUGUGACGUUACUCGCAGAAGAAGCACCGGCUAACUCCGUGCCAGCCGCCGCGGUAAUAC